GGCUGAAUCGAGUGUCGUAGCAUGAAUUCUUAGCGCUCGCCGCCGCAAGAUAUGGUGGACGGAGCAGCUGCACAGAGUUCGCAGAUCCAGGGUGGUUGCACAAGCCCAGGUGGAACUGGACAGCAGGCAGAGAACCAGCCGCGCCUCCAGCCGCAGCGCUGAUGCCAGUUAAGAUCUGCCUCUCAGGGAUCGCCGCAGUGUACUUCU
rfam:Felis catus cont1.529119, whole genome shotgun sequence.